ACUGCGAUUGCCCUAGUAACGGCGAGUGAAGCGGCAGCAGCCCAGAUUUGGAAUCUGGCCCCCUUGCGGGGCCCGAGUUGUAAUCUGCAGAGGAAGCGUCUGGCGCGGCGCCGGCCUAGUUCCCUGGAACGGGACGCCGUAGAGGGUGACAGCCCCGUACGGUCGGCCGCCAAGCCUGUGUGUCGCUCCUUCGAAGAGUCGCGUAGUUUGGGAAUGCUGCGCAAAGUGGGAGGUAUGCUCCUCCUAAGGCUAAAUACCGGCCAGAGACCGAUAGCGCACAAGUAGAGUGAUCGAAAGAUGAAAAGUACCUUGAAAAUGGGGUUAAACAGUACGUGAAAUUGCCAAAGGGGAAGCGCUCGUGGCCAGACUCGCGCCCGGCGGAUCAUCCGGCUCUCCCGCCGGUGCACUCUGCCGGGCUCGGGCCAGCGUCGGUCGGCGCCGGUACUGAAAGGCGGUGCGAACGUGGCUCCCUUCGGGGAGUGUUAUAGCGCGCCGCGUAAUGUGCUGGUGCCGUCCGAGGACCGCGCUUUAUGCAAGGACGCUGGCGUAAUGGCCACUAGCGGCCCGUCUUGAAACACGGACCAAGGAGUCGCCCAGAGGCGCGAGUGUGCGGGUGACAAACCCCUGCGCGUAGUGAAAGCGAACGCUGGUGGGAGCCCUCACGGGCGCACCACCGACCGAUCCUGAUGUCUUCGGAUGGAUUUGAGUAUGAGCGUCUCUGGUCGGACCCGAAAGAGGGUGAACUAUGCUUGGGUAGGGUGAAGCCAGAGGAAACUCUGGUGGAGGCCCCGUUUGGGUUCUGACGUGCAAAUCGAUCCAUAAACCUGGGCAUAGCGGCGAAAGA
rnacentral:rRNA from 1 species